rnacentral:misc_RNA from 1 species
GAAAUGCGAAAGGUAAUGCGAAUUGCAGAAUCAGUGAGUCAUCGAAUCUUUGAACGCACAUUGCGCCUCUCGGUAUUCCGGGAGGCACGCCUGUUCGAGCGCCAUUACAAACCCCAAGCUGUGCUUGAUGUUGGGCGAUGUUUUCGUAAAGGAGACACGCCUGGAACGCGUUGACGCCGCCGGCGGACCACGAGCGUAGCAGGACGAAAGUCGAUCGCAUCUGUGGGAUCCGUCGGACGGUCUUGUCUUUUGACAGUUUUGUCACCACAAUCAAGAGUUUGGCCUCGGAUCAGGCGGGGAUACCCGCUGAACUUAA